rnacentral:lncRNA from 1 species
AUUCCUCCUCUCAAAAACAUUCACUGUUAUUUUGCUAAAUAUCUCUAUAAGAUUUAAUCAUUGCUCGGGUGGUGGAUUGACCUAGGAAUGGUUAUGUAUGUGCCACAUUUUGCUCCUUGCUUUAGAAAAACUUUUAUAAGAUUAUUUCCAAGUAAAAUAUUUUAUUAUACUAAUAUCAGGAGCAUUUUAUGCUACUAGUAAAAUGUGUGCAUUGUUUUAGAGGCUGGAUUGUAAAACUAACCAUAUAUCUUGUAAAUCAUCAGAAAGAAGAAACUUCAGUGGCUGUCUCAGAUAUUAAGCAUACAGAUUUUAGUAGCAGGGUGUCUAUGUUUAAUUUUUCAUUUAUUUAGACACAAUAUCUAUUCUAACUUAAGGCUUACAAAAUGCAAAUAUUGAAAAAUUCUUUAAUACAGAACACAUACACAGACAUUUGACUUCCAGCUUGGUAUGUUUCAUCUGCUUCAUCUUCUUUUGCAGGGCAUUAACUUCUGGGAAUAAACUGCUCUCAGCUGUAAAAUGAACCCUUAGCCCCUGUGUUCAUGAAAUGGAUUGAGUUCAUUGUGGCACUGAUUUACUGUAACUAGAUGCAAGAUUGAUGCAUCCAGGAGAAACCAUUCCAUGUAUCUCAUCUGUCUCAGGAACUGCCCCUUUAAUCUCUUUACUAGAUUUGAUUGCUCUCUAACAAACCAACAGACACCUCUAAAGCAGGACACAAUGAAAUUUAGCAUUGAUAAAUUGCUCAGGGCCUUUUGUAAAAUCCCAGCCCAUGAUAUCAGGACCUUCUUUCCUUGUUCUGAAGAUCUUGAUGUUGGACUCAGAUGUUUCAUCAGUCUCUAG